AACAAGACGGAAGAGAGUCACUCUUACCGUCGCGCAUACCUUAAGCGGGUCUGCCGCCUUCGUUUCUCUUUCUUCGCGAAUGACUUUGAUUGCGCUCGCGCGCCGCAUCGCACCCUUUGGGUGCUGGCGCUCCGCGAGGGCGCGGCACGAGCCGCGACGGCCGCCGGUUUUAGUUAGAUUUGGCGGCCUUGCGAGGCUCUGCCUCGAAGCUGGCUACCAUCUGCGCUUGGGGCUUAGGGCUUGUAGCUCAGUUGGUUAGAGCGCGCGCUUGAUAAGCGUGAGGUCGGAGGUUCAAGUCCUCCCAGGCCCACCAUUCCUCGACAAGGUAAGGUCGAAGAGGUGUUAUCAAGGGGCCGUAGCUCAGCUGGGAGAGCGCCUGCUUUGCAAGCAGGAUGUCGUCGGUUCGAUCCCGUCCGGCUCCACCAUCUCCGCGCAAUCCGCAGGAUUGUCGCCGCGCAAUCCGCAGGAUUGUCGCUUCUUCUGAGGAAGAAAGGGUGUCGAGUGAAUGUGAAGCUGGCUGAGAAAAAGUCAUUCGUUCAAGAGUUUGCGGCGAGCCUUUGGCUCUCCGCCUGUUCUGUAUGACAUCGUAAAGAGAAGAUUUGUUCGAACUUCAUAGCCCGCAAGGGGUGUGAUUUGUCGCGGGAGACGCUCAAUCUCCCGCAUAUGAUGGGUUUGCCUAACCGCACCCUCGAACCGAUCUCGAGAAGCUGGUCUUUUUGUG
rnacentral:tRNA from 1 species